UGGAUGGUGGUAGAGCCGAGAUCUGGGGAAGCGUCCGCUGGAACCGAGGCGCGGGCUCCUAAAAGAGUUUGCGCCAAAGCCAACACUUCUAAAACAAAACCAGAAACAAGGCGGAAAACAGCAGACUGGAUUGCGAAGUCAGCAGCUUAUGGCGCCACUUUGGCAUCGGCAGCUUUCGGCAUUCAGAACCUUGGCACUUGGAUUUGGUGGUAA
rnacentral:lncRNA from 1 species